rnacentral:lncRNA from 1 species
CGACCAAAUAGAUUAAGGCCAAAGUAUUAUUUACAAACUCAGUUAACUCCGAAAUCAAUACAAAUACAAAUAAAUUAUAUACAAGUAAUUUCAUAUUUGAACUACUUAGUGUGGUCCACCAUACCUAAAAUGAAGAAAAUAAAACUAGAAAGACCAAAGAAAUAACAAAAAUUCAUGGAACAAGCAAAUAACCUUCUUGACUCCAAUAUAUACUUUCAGCUCACCCCCAAUCUGUUAUUCGGUUAAAUGAGGAUUCCUAUAAGGAAAAAUUCCACAACCUUAGUUGAAGACAAA